UUUCAGUCUUGCUCUGGAGACGAGCCCCACUUUUGCUACUCAAAAAUUCAAUACCUAUUGUCCUAAGAAGUGACAAAUAAGGAUAUUGUUUUUAAAAAGUUGCUUGAAAUGUCGCUGUGGUGGCGCAGAUCAUACUUGGGUUACUUAUUGAUGCCCAGAGUUGAAACAAUCAGAAAAGAACGUGCACGUCAUUUGAAUUCCGAUGAACUCAAAUCAGAAGAAACCUAUGGACUGAUACCAAGACCUGAUAGCUACUGAAGCAGCUGAAGAAGUGGAAACAAGGAAAAUUCUGUUUAGAUAUCUCUAGUAUCUUACGAAGGCUUUGCACAGGCGUUGAAGUACACUUUAUGAACAGAAA